GAUUAUGCGUUGUCUUUCAGUUUAGUGAGCAAAAAAUAUUCUUGUUGUCUUCACUAUGUUAGGUGGAUGAUCUCUCAAGGAUGUAUAGGCUAUUUUGUAGAAUAACUAGAGGCUUAGAUCCUGUUUCUCAAAUAUUUAAGCAGCAUGUUACUGCUGAAGGAACCACCCUGGUUAAACAAGCGGAAGAUGCAGCAAGUAACAAGAAAGCAGAGAAAAAAAGAUGUUGUUGGUUUGCAAGAACAGGUAAAUCUCAUAAUAGGUGCCUUGUUUCAAGUCUGAUAGAAUAUUCUGGGACUCAUAUCUCUGGAGGAAAUAAAUAUGUUUUUCCCAAGCUGACAUGUUUUCACUGGUUUAAGAUAUAUGUGAUUUUUUUUCCCCUCAAAAGUCUUGACUAAUGAUAGUCCGUUUGGUUUAAAAAAAUAUGGCCCACCGAAUAGAAGUGGCGUUGUACCUAAGAUCAUGUCUCCCAUUCUUUUAUAAUCUUCCCUGUUUAUUGAUUUUUAUUUUUAUUUUUGAAACGCAUGAAUUGUUUAUUGGUCGGCAUAAAAAUCAUGGCAUUAUCAUGUAAAUCCGCUCCAUUUUAUUUUAAUUUCAAGCGGAUUCAACGUAAAUGAUAGCAACGACUUGGAGUCUUAUAUUUUUUUUUAUUAUGUCUCUUCCUCCAUUUUGAAGAUAUGUGCUGUCAUGUUUUUCUAUUUAACUCAUCAUAUGCAUUACCAUAGCUAGCUAAAGUGAUGUCUGCUUUUCUUAGGAAUUGGAGCUGUGUUCGUGAAGAAUUAUGUAUAUAUCGGUCUGGUGUUUCAGCUGAACAUCUAUUGUCUCAUUGAUCUGAGUGGCUCUAGUCUGCCAUCUGUUUCUUGGGUCGAUUGCCAUAUUGGUUGAAAAGAGGUUCCUUUCAUCUUUGGUGGUUAGAGCUGAUUGGCUUGUGUUAAACAGGAUACUCACUAUA